UGACAAUCUCUUUAGUAAAUUAGUAUAGGGAUUUGGAUGUCUCUUUAUCCUCUGAGUUUGGAUCAACAUCAAUAAAUCAGUAUUUGUGAGAAAAACAGACUGAAUAAAAGCACAUUUAUCCUUUUCAACUGAACUACGAUAGAUUUCUGUGUUCAAACUACCUUAAAGGGAGGCCCCUAAACCUGUUUUACUGGCUUCGAGAGGAAUGUUAGAGGGGUUUUAAAGUGUGUUUCGGAGUCCUGAGAAUGGUCGAGAUGGGUUUUUUGCUUUUGUUGUUUUAUGAAGUGCUACAGGUUGAAAUCGUGUGGUAUGUGGUGUAAUUAUUAUCCUGGCAAGUUGUCAAGUUUCAAUGAAGCAUUUUCUGUUCCUCAAAACCUACCGUGUAGCCUACUCGUAUAUAACUCAGAGCGUUGGGAAGACUUUUUAGAGAAAAGUAGCUAACCUUGAUUUUUGCAUUUUUAUUAGAACAGAAAACUUUCAUUUUUUUCUUAUAGAAAGAAAAGGUCUUUGGUCACGGCACCACAAACUAGUGAUUUACACAUUUACGAAACUGUUAUUUCUAUCAAAGAACACAGAUGGAAUUACCUGCUUUUAUUACUGUAAAUAUCAACAGGAAGGGAAUUUUAAAAAGAAAAGAAAAAACAACAAAAUGUGCAGGUGGACAAACAUUAGAUAUACUUUAUAAUUUAUAGUUUUGGAUUCUGGUCAGAAGGUGUUGAUUGAUUUCCUACAGCAACAGCUCUGACAAUAGUGCAGCUGCAAAUCACAAGUUUAUACAAAUACUAAUCUUUUCAGGAGUUUGCAGUUUCUUGGUAGCAUCUUAUUACGAAAAAGAAAAAAAGAGAAGCUAGUGAGGAUGAUAACAGCAAAUAACUAGUUUCAGCAAUGUAUAAUUAAAUGCAGUUAUAAAGGUAUGAUGUGUUCUUCAAUAAAUAAUUAAAUAAUAGAACAAAAAAUUGCUGUGAUUUAAGAGGCAUAAAACAAUUUGGGAUGCGCUGUAAUAGGAUUUUUUUUAAUUAUUAUAUUUUUUUU
ensembl:lncRNA